rnacentral:rRNA from 1 species
CGUGCUUAAUACAUGCAAGUCAACUUGACUUUAGAUAGCAAUAUCGAAAAGUAGGUGGCGCACGGGUGCGUAACGCGUAGGUAAUCCUGCCCUGAGGUCUGACAUAACCCGUCGAAAGGCGGGCUAACAUCAGAUGAUAUAUAAUCACGACAUCGUGGAAAUAUCAAAUCUUCGGAGCCUUGGGAUGAGCCUGCGUCUGAUUAGGUAGUUGCGGGGUAAUAGCCCACCAAGCCUACGAUCAGUAGCUGGUCUGAGAGGAUGAUCAGCCACACUGGAACUGAGACACGGUCCAGACUCCUACGGGAGGCAGCAGUAAGGAAUAUUGCUCAAUGGGGGAAACCCUGAAGCAGCAACGCCGCGUGAAGGAUGAAAUACUUUUGUAUGUAAACUUCUGUAAGAUGGGAAAAAUAUUCUCCUCGGGAGAAUUGAUUGUACCAUCAGAGUAAGCCCCGGCUAACUACGUG